rnacentral:rRNA from 1 species
AUCCUGGCUUAGGACGAACGCUGGCGGCGUGCCUAAUACAUGCAAGUCGAACGGUCUUUCUAUGGAAGCUUGCUCCACUGAGAAGAUAGUGGCGAACGGGUGAGUAACACGUGGGUAACCUGCCCAUAAGAGGGGGGAUAACAUCCGGAAACGGGUGCUAAUACCGCAUAGUUUUCUUGAUUGCAUGAUUGAGAAAGGAAAGACGGCCUUUGUGCUGUCGCUUAUGGAUGGACCCGCGGCGUAUUAGUUAGUUGGUGAGGUAACGGCUCACCAAGACGAUGAUACGUAGCCGACCUGAGAGGGUGAUCGGCCACAUUGGGACUGAGACACGGCCCAAACUCCUACGGGAGGCAGCAGUAGGGAAUCUUCCGCAAUGGACGAAAGUCUGACGGAGCAACGCCGCGUGAGUGAAAGAAGGUUUUCGGAUCGUAAAACUCUGUUGUCAGAGAAGAACAAGUUGGAGAGUAACUGCUCCAGCCUUGACGGUAUCUGACCAGAAAGCCACGGCUAACUACGUGCCAGCCGCCGC